rnacentral:rRNA from 1 species
UACGGGAGGCAGCAGUGGGGAAUAUUGCACAAUGGGCGCAAGCCUGAUGCAGCCAUGCCGCGUGUAUGAAGAAGGCCUUCGGGUUGUAAAGUACUUUCAGUCGUGAGGAAGGUGUUAAGGUUAAUAACCUUAGCAAUUGACGUUAGCGACAGAAGAAGCACCGGCUAACUCCGUGCCAGCAGCCGCGGUAAUACGGAGGGUGCGAGCGUUAAAUCGGAGUUACUGGGCGUAAAGGGCACGCAGGCGGUUAAUUAAGUUGGAUGUGAAAUCCCCGGGCUUAACCUGGGAAUGGCAUUCAAGACUGGUUAGCUAGAGUCUUGUAGAGGGGGUAGAAUUCCAUGUGUAGCGGUGAAAUGCGUAGAGAUGUGGAGGAAUACCGGUGGCGAAGGCGGCCCCUGGGACAAAGACUGACGCUCAUGUGCGAAAGCGUGGGGAGCAAACAGGAUUAGAUACC